rnacentral:rRNA from 1 species
CCUACGGGUGGCAGCAGUGAGGAAUAUUGGUCAAUGGGCGCGAGCCUGAACCAGCCAAGUAGCGUGAAGGAUGACUGCCCUACGGGUUGUAAACCUCUUUUAUAAAGGAAUAAAGUGAGGCACGUGUGCCUGUCUGCAUGUAUUCUAUGAAUAAGGAUCGGCUAACUCCGUGCCAGCAGCCGCGGUAAUACGGAGGAUCCGAGCGUUAUCCGGAUUUAUUGGGUUUAAAGGGAGCGUAGAUGGGUUGUUAAGUCAGUGGUGAAAGUUUGGGGCUCAACCGCAAAAUUGCCAUUGAUACUGGCAGUCUUGAGUACAGUUGAGGUAGGCGGAAUUCGUGGUGUAGCGGUGAAAUGCUUAGAUAUCACGAAGAACUCCGAUUGCGAAGGCAGCGUACUAAACUGACACUGACAUUGAUGCUCGAAAGUGUGGGUAUCAAACAGGAUUAGAUACCCGUGUAGUC